AUUGAACGCUGGCGGCAGGCCUAACACAUGCAAGUCGAGCGGAUGAAGGGAGCUUGCUCCUGGAUUCAGCGGCGGACGGGUGAGUAAUGCCUAGGAAUCUGCCUGGUAGGGGGGGAUAACGUCCGGAAACGGGCGCUAAUACCGCAUACGUCCUGAGGGAGAAAGGGGGGGAUCUUCGGACCUCACGCUAUCAGAUGAGCCUAGGUCGGAUUAGCUAGUUGGUGGGGUAAAGGCCUACCAAGGCGACGAUCCGUAACUGGUCUGAGAGGAUGAUCAGUCACACUGGAACUGAGACACGGUCCAGACUCCUACGGGAGGCAGCAGUGGGGAAUCUUGGACAAUGGGCGAAAGCCUGAUCCAGCCAUGCCGCGUGUGUGAAGAAGGUCUUCGGAUUGUAAAGCACUUUAAGUUGGGAGGAAGGGCAGUAAGUUAAUACCUUGCUGUUUUGACGUUACCAACAGAAUAAGCACCGGCUAACUUCGUG
rnacentral:rRNA from 1 species